rnacentral:rRNA from 1 species
UACGGAGGGUGCAAGCGUUACUCGGAAUCACUGGGCGUAAAGGAUGCGUAGGCGGAUAAUCAAGUCAAAGUGAAAUCCUACAGCUCAACUGUAGAACUGCUUUCGAAACUGGUUAUCUAGAAUAUGGAAGAGGCAGAUGGAAUUAGUGGUGUAGGGGUAAAAUCCGUAGAGAUCACUAGGAAUACCGAUUGCGAAGGCGAUCUGCUGGGACAUUAUUGACGCUGAGGCAUGAAAGCGUGGGGAGCGAAACAGG